GUGCUCACUUUAACAGCACGCACACUAGAUUUGGAACCAUACAGAGAAGAUUAGCUUGGCCCCUGUGCAAGGAUGACAUGCAAAUUCAUGAAGUGAUCCAUCUUUGA
rnacentral:snRNA from 1 species